rnacentral:rRNA from 1 species
GACGUAGGGCGCGAGCGUUGUCCGGAUUUAUUGGGCGUAAAGAGCUCGUAGGCGGCUUGUUACGUCGUUCGUGAAAACUUGGGGCUCAACCCCAAGCUUGCGGUCGAUACGGGCAGGCUAGAGUUCGGUAGGGGAGACUGGAAUUCCUGGUGUAGCGGUGAAAUGCGCAGAUAUCAGGAGGAACACCGGUGGCGAAGGCGGAUCUCUGGGCCGAUACUGACGCUGAGGAGCGAAAGCGUGGGGAGCGAACAGG